UCCCUCCUCUCUCCCCUCCCCCCCCUCCCCGGGCGGCUCCGGCUCCCGCAGCGGGACAGACCCACCCGCCCAGGCUUUCAUCCGGCACCGGCAGCGUCUUCCUUCCCUCCCCCGUCUAUGGUGGCGGCGGCGGCUCCUCGGGCGGCGGCGGAAGACGAGGCUGCGGCGUUGCCAUGAACAGUGGCGGCGGCCUCCCGCCCCCCUCGGCCGCCGCCUCCUCUUCCUCCUCCUCGUUGGCGGCGGCGGUGGCGGUGGUGGCCCCGCCGGGGAUCGGAGGUGUCCCCGGCGGGGCGGCUGCGGGAGUGAAGCUAAAGUAUUGCCGCUACUACGCCAAGGAUAAGACUUGCUUCUACGGGGAGGAGUGUCAGUUCCUGCAUGAGGAUCCGGCCGCCGGGGCUGCCCCGGGCCUCGGCCUCCAUAGCAACAGCGUCCCCCUGGCUCUUGCGGGCGCGCCGGUGGCCGGCUUUCCGCCCGGAGCUGUCCCGGGCGGGGGAGCUGGGCCGCCCCCGGGGCCCAAGAAGCCGGACCUGGGGGGCCCGGGGGCAGGAGCUGCAGCCGGCGGAGGAGGCAGCAGCGGCGGACUCGAUGGACCACGGCUGGCAAUUCCUGGAAUGGAUGGAGGUGCUUUAACUGAUACAAGUCUCACAGAUUCCUAUUUUAGCACCAGCUUUAUUGGUGUCAAUGGAUUUGGAAGCCCUGUAGAAACAAAGUAUCCCUUGAUUCAGAGAAUGACUAACAGUAGCAGCUCCCCAAGCCUUCUAAAUGACAGUGCCAAGCCAUAUGCAGGCCAUGAUCCUCUAACUUCGCCUGCUUCAUCCUUGUUUAAUGACUUUGGUGCCCUCAACAUCUCUCAGAGAAGAAAGCCAAGGAAGUAUCGCCUGGGGAUGCUGGAGGAGAGGCUAGUUCCCAUGGGAUCAAAGGCACGAAAAGCAAAGAACCCCAUUGGCUGCCUUGCUGACAGGUGUAAAUCAGGAGUACCCAUCAAUAUGGUUUGGUGGAACAGAGUCACAGAAAACAAUUUACAGACACCAAAUCCCACCGCAAGCGAGUUUAUUCCUAAAGGAGGAUCAACCUCCAGGCUGAGUAACCUGUCCCAGUCAAACACGUCUGCCUUCUCUCAAGUUUUCUCCCACCCAUCCAUGGGAAGCCCUGCUGCUGCUGGAUUAGCACCAGGAAUGUCGUUGUCUGCUGGAUCUUCCCCUCUUCAUUCCCCCAAGAUUACUCCACAUACUUCUCCUGCUCCCAGAAGAAGAAGUCACACUCCAAAUCCAGCAAGUUACAUGGUGCCUUCUAGUGCCUCUACAUCUGUUAGUAAUCCUGUUUCUCAAACUCCAUCUUCUGGUCAGGUGAUCCAAAAGGAAACUGUCGGUGGGACGACUUACUUCUAUACAGAUACAACUCCAGCACCUUUGACUGGAAUGGUAUUUCCAAACUAUCAUAUUUAUCCUCCAACUGCACCUCAUGUUGCUUAUAUGCAACCAAAAGCAAAUGCACCUUCCUUCUUCAUGGCUGAUGAACUCCGACAGGAGCUGAUCAACAGACAUUUAAUAACAAUGGCCCAAAUUGAUCAAGCAGAUAUGCCAGCAGUCCCUACAGAAGUUGACAGCUACCAUAGCCUGUUCCCUCUAGAACCACUGCCACCCCCCAACCGGAUACAGAAAUCAAGUAAUUUUGGGUAUAUUACAUCGUGCUACAAAGCUGUAAAUAGCAAAGAUGAUCUGCCGUAUUGCCUUCGGAGGAUACACGGUUUUCGUCUUGUUAACACAAAGUGCAUGGUGUUGGUCGAUAUGUGGAAAAAAAUUCAGCACUCAAAUAUUGUAACCUUGCGUGAAGUAUUUACCACUAAAGCAUUUGCUGAGCCUUCUCUCGUGUUUGCAUAUGAUUUCCAUGCUGGAGGAGAAACUAUGAUGAGCAGACACUUUAAUGACCCUAAUGCUGAUGCCUAUUUCACAAAGAGAAAGUGGGGUCAACACGAUGGACCAUUGCCCAGACAGCAUGCUGGAUUAUUGCCAGAAUCUCUUAUUUGGGCGUAUAUUGUCCAACUGAGUUCUGCAUUGCGAACCAUUCAUACAGCAGGUUUGGCAUGUCGAGUUAUGGAUCCAACAAAGAUUCUGAUAACUGGCAAAACGAGGUUGCGAGUAAAUUGCGUUGGAGUUUUUGAUGUUUUAACAUUUGAUAACAGUCAAAAUAAUAAUCCAUUGGCAUUAAUGGCUCAGUACCAGCAAGCAGAUCUGAUAUCAUUAGGAAAAGUUGUGUUGGCUUUGGCUUGCAACUCUUUGGCAGGAAUUCAGAGAGAGAAUUUACAGAAAGCCAUGGAACUGGUGACAAUCAACUACUCCUCUGACCUGAAGAAUCUGAUUUUGUAUUUGUUGACUGACCAAAACAGGAUGCGAAGUGUAAAUGACAUCAUGCCCAUGAUUGGUGCUCGAUUUUAUACUCAGUUGGAUGCUGCUCAAAUGAGAAAUGAUGUCAUAGAGGAAGACCUUGCAAAGGAGGUUCAAAAUGGAAGACUGUUUAGGCUUCUAGCAAAAUUGGGAACAAUCAAUGAGAGGCCGGAGUUUCAGAAAGAUCCUGCUUGGUCAGAGACUGGAGACCGUUACCUUUUGAAACUGUUUAGGGAUCAUCUUUUCCAUCAGGUGACAGAAGCAGGUGCUCCCUGGAUCGACCUCAGUCAUAUCAUCUCUUGUCUUAACAAGCUAGAUGCUGGUGUGCCAGAAAAAAUAAGCCUGAUUUCUAGAGAUGAGAAGAGUGUACUUGUGGUGACUUACAGUGACUUAAAGCGCUGCUUUGAAAAUACUUUUCAAGAACUGAUUGCAGCUGCAAAUGGUCAGUUGUAGUAUUUGCUGAAAAAGCCUGCAGGACAUGACUGAGGAACUUAACCAACAGCAAAUUGCACUACAGCUGAACUGUUUUCAUCAUCUCAUUUCACAUUCGGGAAACAAACAGGAGAUGAGCAAAGCUGCUUGCACUUCAGUCAGGUACACUGUUACUUGAAAAGAAGAAUGUUUUACUUAUCCAAGAGCUAUGGCUGCCAUUGGAGGCUAUGUCUGUGAAGAAUUUAUUUUAGAUUAAGGAGGAUCAUCAGCACUGAAUGUUUUACUAGCACUGGGUGCUCACCAUGCAACUAUGAAGAAAAUGUGGAAACUCAAAAAAGGUCAGGACAGACUCCCAAGCACUUGCAACUGAUGUUACUGUCUUCAAUUUUAAUAAUUAUACAUAUUUGUACAUUUCAGAGAAGUUUUUACUAUUUCUCUGUCCACUUUUUAUAAGCUUUAAAAUGAUUUUCUCUGCCUUGAGAUUUGCAUCGAAAAAAAGCACCUCUCUUCACCUGAAAGCUUUGAAGACUAGAGACACGCUUUAUAUGUUUUAACAAGUGUGUUUGAGUCCACGUUUGGUAGCAUCAGUUGUUGAGUUAAAAAGAAAAUCAAUUAUUGCAUUUGAUCUGGAUGGAUUUUAAAAGAACAUAAUGUUCAAUAUUCAAUGGAUAAUUAACAUUUGCCACCAUAACGCUCUUUUUUAUGUAAAAGGAACAAGAACUUGGAGACAUUAACAUGCAGAAGUCUUCUAUCAUUAGCUCAUGUAUUUGAGGAAGAGCAGCUGUCUUUUUAUAUGUUUUUUGACAAAUCAUAUUGUAAUUCUUUUGUACAAAAAAGAACUUGUAUUCUAGAAGAAAUAUGAAAUGCUUAAUUUAUAAGCGGGCUGGAGAUUUUUUCCAAUAUUGUUUUCUUUGAAAAUGAAAGGGGAUCAUCUAUUUUAGUUUUGGGGUCUGGGAACUUUUUGAAAAUUUAAUUUGUGGACCAAUGUUUUGUGAAAGCUAAGGAAGGAUAGGGGUCAAAUAGGGCUUGACUUUCUCAUUCUGUAUAGACCAGCAAACUUCCUUCUGCAAGGCAAGUUCACAUCGCAAACCCAAGAAUGUCUGCACCAUAAAUGCUAGUUUGCUUCAGCCCCUAGUAACCUCAGGACUUGGUUUGAAUAUAAAAGAUAGACAGCUGAUAUGUUUUCAUGAGUAAAUAUUGUCAUCCAGAAAACAGUUGGUGUCAGGUAAUGCAUAUUUUUUUAAGCUUUGUUUUAUAUUUAUUUUUCAUUAGUUUUUAUUGGGAAUGGUUUUCAAAAGAACUCUCAGUUCUGCUUAGGUGUUUUUUUGGGGGAGCCCUCUUUUCCAUACUGUAAUUUCAUUUAAGAGGUUGUCUAAAAGUUAGUCUUUUUCAUUCAUAGGAAGAUUUUUAAUAUCUGAGGAGAGUCAAAUUAAGGAUAUAGGCUUCCCAUACCUUCCUGUUAUAACAAAUAAAAGCACAGAAAAGACAACCCUUGAAAUCAUGUAACAUUGGUCAUUUCAGUUUUUUGUACCUAUUUUGAAUUCUGUGAGUGUAUUUACUUCAUUGUAAAUAUUUUUGAGGGUACCUUAAUAUUUUGCUUUUUAACCUUGGUUCUGUGAUUUGGAUGUCAACAACUUCCCUAAAAAGCACCAGUAUGUUAAAAUCUCAUGUCAUGAUCCCAAUGUGUUAUUCAUCUUUAAUCCUGUUUUCAGUCUCUAUGUGU